UGGAUGUCUGUGGCUCCUAACAUGCGGACGCAUUGAUUAGUACUGUACUUACUAGCAGUAUUUUUAUAUUGUCCCUGACAAAUGCAUACAACCUGUGAAGGGUUAAGUGUAGCCCGCCCACGUGUAAAGACGGUUUGUGAUUGAAUGUUUUUUUUUUUUCAUUCGUGGAGACUUGAAAGUUCUUCGAGAGUCAUUAUUUCAGUCACUUAGCACGUCUUUGUACAUUCCUAUAUUGCAAAGGAACAAGCAAUAGGUUUGUUCCAUGCUGGAAAGAGAGGAAAGUAAACGCAACGUUUUCGGCCGUGGAGACUUCUUCAGUCACUUUGAAGGAAGGGUUUGGUAUCAUGGCAAGAGGCGGGGUUUUCGGAAACGUGUCCGGGGAGGGAACGCCACAGCAGCUGUCGGCAUCUGGGAACAGUUGAGACGGCGCAACGUGAUGUGGCUGUAACGCGCAUUGCUGUAAAAAUGGACUGGACAUGAGGUGCUGAAAUGCUGUUUGAAGUGCACAGCUUUGAUUCCUGUCCAGUGCAGUGAGUGAACCGUGAAGAAUUACAGGAGUAAACUGUUGGGGAAAACAGUAGGAUUCUGCAAAAUGGGUUGCUGGCAUAUUGUAUCUGGUGUCAAAGGAUCUGCAACGAUUGAAUGUCCACAUUUGAAGAUCUCUGGAUAUCCGAGGGAAACAAGGCGAUGAUGCUAAUUGGGGAGAUGCGAUGGUUUAUAGCCACUUCAUGGCUUUGGAAUGUUAAGGCAACUACAGGCAAUAAACAUCUAACUUGACUUAA